rnacentral:lncRNA from 1 species
UUGAUAGUGGUUUUUAAGAUUGAUUUUGAUUGAUAGUAAAUUCUAAAUAUUUUGAAUCACCUUUGUUAGACAUUGGUGACCUAUGAAAACUUAUUUUGUUUCUUUUAUUUGACGUUUAGAGCAUAAAUUAUGUGAAUCUUAUAAAAAAAAAAGAUUGAAGAAGGAUUUUGGUAGCAAAGGGAGUAAUUAAGGCACCAAUAUAGAUGAAUGGAAAUGGAUGAUUAAAAUCUCUAUUCCUAUUGGUCAAAAAUCAUGACCAAUGGCCUUUGAGGAGGCUUCUCGAGGCCAUAUUAGGGAUUAGGGUUAGUUUUUCGAAGCCAUUCGAGCUUUGCAGGCUAGGGCCAACAAGUUUAGAUUUUUGGCUAUGAUUUUGGUAUAAAUUUUAAAUGGUUUGGA